ensembl:snoRNA
ACCCCUGGGAAUGGGCAAAGAGACACCUGAUCAGUGGUGCUACUCUUAGAUCAACCAGGGCAAAGUAAACUAACAGCCCCUUGUUCAUCCUAGCCUGAUGCCUGUCCAUGGCCAGAGCUGUUUCGUGCCUGGGGCACAAAA